AUCAUAGAAAUCCCUAAUCCAUGACGGUUUUAUAUGUUAGGUACUUAGGUGAGAAAAGAAAUAGAAGAAGAAAUACGAGAGUGGAGACUGACCGUCCGCUCCUCUCAUAUCCACUCCCUUAUCCUCGCACAGCCGCACCUUCCCAUGCCCUCCGCUCCUCUCCAUGGACGCCAUCCUGACUAGGCGGGCUAGCCGCACUGAGCUGCUGACCGCAUGCCGCCGGAUCCACGAUGGGGUGGCCGCCCUUCUUCUCCUCCGGUCAGAUCCACGACAAGGUGAUUGCGCUCCCCUUCUUCCCUAGCUAGAUCCACGCCAUGGGGACCUCAGGAAGCUCCCCCAGCCAGAUCCAUGACAGAAGCACCGACGACGCACAUGUCGACCUCGACGAGUGCCCUAUCUGCUUCCUGGUAACCAUCCUUUUCCCCAUCUUCCCCAUCUACAGUUCUACCUAACCACUCCUCGCCGCGCUGCUACGUGCCGGCGCUGGGGCGUCCGUGCCCUCCUCCAGGUUUUGUCUCCGGCGAUGUAGGUACCCAACUCCGCCAGAUCAGUCGCCUCCGCCUUUCCUCCCGCCGGCAGCAACAGCCCUGAGGAGGAGGCACCGGUCCUACCGCUCCUCCAGGAGUUCAUGAUUGAGGCAUUGAGAACGAGCUCAAAGCAUAUUCAAAGUUAAAUCAUAUUAGCCAUUGCAUGAGUGGUUAACUUGAAUUCAUAUUAGCUCAAUGCCUCAUUAAAGUUACGUUUAAUUCAUAUAGCUCAAAGCAUUCUCGAGGUAAGAAAGAGGAACUGCACCUCCCCAAUUGAAUUGGUUGUGCAUGUGCUUAUUUGACUCUUAGCCUGGGAUUUUCCUUGUGCAGCCAAUAGGCCGGAGCAAGGUUAAUUAACAUGUUUCUGAAGAUUAAUGCAAAUAUGAUGAUUGGUUGCUAUUGCAAUGCCAAGUCUAUCUUUGUCUGAAGGUAGCAAAACUGACUUUUCUUUGCUAGCAAAACUGAUUUGCUAGCAGACGUUUGAUGAGGCUAUGCGUGAAUUGCGGCAAGAGGAUCAAGGUGCUCAUGGUAGCUAUUUUCAUUAGUUAUGAUAGAUUUUGUUGUGCGAGCAAAUCAUAUGAGUUGUUGUUGUAUAAGCCAACAUAUUAGUUUUGUAGGUACUUGAGUGUAGCUUGGUUAUUGUCUUAGUAUUUUGUGUGAAAUAUUGUACAAGUACAAAUGUUGAUGGUUUUAAUGAAGAUGUUGAGCAAUAUUUUGUCAA